GUCUUCAUGGCUUAGUUGGUUAAAGCGUCGGUCUCAUACAACCUUUCUGUAUGAUUUCCUUGAUCAAACAAGGAAAGUCACCUGAUAUCCGAAGGUCGCGAGUUCGACUCUCGCUGAGGACA